GCCACAGGGAAAUCCUCAACAGCAAUGGAAGGCCCAGCAUUGCCUUCUGAGAGAGAAAUUCCCUCCUGACGAGUGCCAGGAGCUGCAGAGGCUCCAGCAGGCUGGCGCGAAACUUGGAGUGCUCAGCGAGCAGCUGCAGGAGAAAUGCAGGCAGCUCCAGACCGGGAGAAAGCUGAGGCCACACGAAAAUCCACAACAGCAAUGGAAGGCCCAGCCAUGCCUGCUGAGAGAGGAAGGCCCUCCUGAAGAGUGCCAGGAGCUGCAGAGGCUCCAGCAGACUGGGGCCAAACUU
ensembl:lncRNA